AGUGAACGCUGGCGGUAGGCCUAACACAUGCAAGUCGAACGGCAGCACAGUAAGAGCUUGCUCUUACGGGUGGCGAGUGGCGGACGGGUGAGGAAUACAUCGGAAUCUACUUUUUCGUGGGGGAUAACGUAGGGAAACUUACGCUAAUACCGCAUACGACCUACGGGUGAAAGCAGGGGAUCUUCUGACCUUGCGCGAUUGAAUGAGCCGAUGUCGAAUUAGCUAGUUGGCGGGGUAAAGGCCCACCAAGGCGACGAUCCGUAGCUGGUCUGAGAGGAUGAUCAGCCACACUGGAACUGAGACACGGUCCAGACUCCUACGGGAGGCAGCAGUGGGGAAUAUUGGACAAUGGGCGCAAGCCUGAUCCAGCCAUACCGCGUGGGUGAAGAAGGCCUUCGGGUUGUAAAGCCCUUUUGUUGGGAAAGAAAAGCAGCAGGUUAAUACCCCGCUGUUCUGACGGUACCCAAAGAAUAAGCACCGGCUAACUUCGUG
rnacentral:rRNA from 1 species